rnacentral:rRNA from 1 species
GACGAACGCUGGCGGCGCGCUUAACACAUGCAAGUCGAGCGAAGCGGCGGACGGGUGAGUAACACGUGAGUAACCUGCCUUAGACAUUGGGAUAGCCUCGGGAAACCGGGAUUAAUACCAAAUGGUCUAAGAUGGACUCGCGUCCCAUUAGCUAUUUGGUGAGGUAACGGCCCAACAAGGCGACGAUGGGUAGCCGGCCUGAGAGGGUGAACUGCCACAUGUGAACUGAGAAACGGUCCAACCUCUACGUGAGUCAGCAGUGGGGGAUAUUGCGCAAUGGGCGAAAGCCUGAUGCAGCGACGCCGCGUGGUGGAUGAAGGCUUUCGGGUUGUAACCCUCUUCGCUAUCGAACACUAUAGGGUGGGUUGAGGGUAGGUGGAGAAGAAGCGCCGGCUAACUACGUGCCAGCAGCCGCGGUAAUUC